AGAGUUUGAUCAUGGCUCAGAUUGAACGCUGGCGGCAGGCCUAACACAUGCAAGUCGAGCGGAUGAAGGGAGCUUGCUCCUGGAUUCAGCGGCGGACGGGUGAGUAAUGCCUAGGAAUCUGCCUGGUAGUGGGGGAUAACGUCCGGAAACGGGCGCUAAUACCGCAUACGUCCUGAGGGAGAAAGUGGGGGAUCUUCGGACCUCACGCUAUCAGAUGAGCCUAGGUCGGAUUAGCUAGUUGGUGGGGUAAAGGCCUACCAAGGCGACGAUCCGUAACUGGUCUGAGAGGAUGAUCAGUCACACUGGAACUGAGACACGGUCCAGACUCCUACGGGAGGCAGCAGUGGGGAAUAUUGGACAAUGGGCGAAAGCCUGAUCCAGCCAUGCCGCGUGUGUGAAGAAGGUCUUCGGAUUGUAAAGCACUUUAAGUUGGGAGGAAGGGCAGUAAGUUAAUACCUUGCUGUUUUGACGUUACCAACAGAAUAAGCACCGGCUAACUUCGUGCCAGCAGCCGCGGUAAUACGAAGGGUGCAAGCGUUAAUCGGAAUUACUGGGCGUAAAGCGCGCGUAGGUGGUUCAGCAAGUUGGAUGUGAAAUCCCCGGGCUCAACCUGGGAACUGCAUCCAAAACUACUGAGCUAGAGUACGGUAGAGGGUGGUGGAAUUUCCUGUGUAGCGGUGAAAUGCGUAGAUAUAGGAAGGAACACCAGUGGCGAAGGCGACCACCUGGACUGAUACUGACACUGAGGUGCGAAAGCGUGGGGAGCAAACAGGAUUAGAUACCCUGGUAGUCCACGCCGUAAACGAUGUCGACUAGCCGUUGGGAUCCUUGAGAUCUUAGUGGCGCAGCUAACGCGAUAAGUCGACCGCCUGGGGAGUACGGCCGCAAGGUUAAAACUCAAAUGAAUUGACGGGGGCCCGCACAAGCGGUGGAGCAUGUGGUUUAAAGGGCUACACACGUGCUACAAUGGUCGGUACAAAGGGUUGCCAAGCCGCGAGGUGGAGCUAAUCCCAUAAAACCGAUCGUAGUCCGGAUCGCAGUCUGCAACUCGACUGCGUGAAGUCGGAAUCGCUAGUAAUCGUGAAUCAGAAUGUCACGGUGAAUACGUUCCCGGGCCUUGUACACACCGCCCGUCACACCAUGGGAGUGGGUUGCUCCAGAAGUAGCUAGUCUAACCGCAAGGGGGACGGUUACCACGGAGUGAUUCAUGACUGGGGUGAAGUCGUAACAAGGUAGCCGUAGGGGAACCUGCGGCUGGAUCACCU
rnacentral:rRNA from 1 species